rnacentral:rRNA from 1 species
GACGAACCGUGCGAACGUUGUUCGGAAUUACUGGGCGUAAAGGGCGCGUAGGCGGCCUUCUAAGUCGAACGUGAAAUCCCCGGGCUCAACCCGGGAACUGCGUCCGAUACUGGAAGGCUUGAAUCCGGGAGAGGGAUGUGGAAUUCCAGGUGUAGCGGUGAAAUGCGUAGAUAUCUGGAGGAACACCGGUGGCGAAGGCGACAUCCUGGACCGGUAUUGACGCUGAGGCGCGAAAGCCAGGGGAGCAAACGGG